rnacentral:misc_RNA from 1 species
GAUGAAGAACGUAGCGAAAUGCGAUAAGUAGUGUGAAUUGCAGAAUUCAGUGAAUCAUCGAAUCUUUGAACGCACAUUGCGCCCCUUGGUAUUCCAUGGGGCAUGCCUGUUCGAGCGUCAUUUGUACCUUCAAGCUUUGCUUGGUGUUGGGUGUUUGUCCUGAGGGACUCGCCUUAAAGUAAUUGGCAGCCAGUGUUUGGUUUUGAAGCGCAGCACAAGUCGCGAUUCAAAGCUAUACGCCCGCUUCCACAAGCCUUUUUCACUUUUGACCUCGGAUCAGGUAGGGAUACCCGCUGAACUUAAGCAUAUCAAUAACGGAGGA